CAAAGGUCGUGCCUCCGGCAAAGAGCACUAGUCAUGUGACUGUUGGCAGCGGCAGAAGUGCAAAUGGAGAAAAGGUGCGAACAGAGCUACCUUGAUUCUGUGUCCAGGGAUGAAGAAGGAAGGUAUCAUGUCGAUUUGCCAAUAAACAAAGAACUUCUACCAAAACUAGGCAAAUUCGAGUGAAACCUCAGUAUCAAGCACUUCAGCGCAUCCUGUGGAGAGAUGAUCCAUCGCAUGAUAUACAGUGUCUUCAGCUGGAUACUGUUACAUAUGGAACAGCAUCAGCCAGUUACCUUGCUACACGGACAUUGGUGAAAUUGGUUGAGGAUGAAGGUGAUAAUUUUCCAUCUGCUUCUAAGGCAUUACUUCAAAGUACCUUCGUUGAUGACAUUUUGCAUGGCGAGAAUGAUCUUUCUUCUGCAUUAAAUACCAUAAAUGAGUUGCAAGAGUUGUUAGCUAAAGGAAGGUUUGAAUUGCACAAAUGGUACUCUAAUAGCUCAAUGUUAAUGUCGCAAUUUCCUCCUGAAAAACUUGAAAAAUGUCAUUUUUCCUUUGACAAUAAAGAAGGUUCUUGUAUUAAAACGCUAGGUUUGAAGUGGGAGCCAAACUCAGAUAAAUUUCAGGUCGAGGUACCUAAAUAUACUUCCACUAGUCAUACCAAAAGAAAUAUUUUGUCUGAUAUUGCUAAGGUCUAUGAUCCCUUGGGUUUUAUUGCUCCAGUUACAGUCUAUGCUAAGUUGAUAAUGCAAGAUAUCUGGAAGGCAAACGUUGACUGGGAUUCUGAGGUGCCUGACGCUAUUUUAUCUAAAUGGAUUUUUUUUUGUGCCAAUCUUGAAUGCUUGAAUGUCAUUUCAGUGCCUCGUCUCAUGGUUAAUACUGACGCAGAGAGGGUUGAGCUUCAUGGCUUCGCAGAUAGCUCCACGAAGGCGUAUGGCUGCGUCGUGUACAUCCGCUGCAGUUGUCCUGAAAAAACUACAGUCCACUUAGUAUGUGCGAAGACAAGAGUUGCUCCUCUC